rnacentral:rRNA from 1 species
GGGGGGAAAAUUAAUAAAUAUUAGUAUAAAAAAAGAAAUUUUAAAGUAAAAUACUGAAUGGGGGUUUAAGUAUUUUUAUGGAAAAAAUUUUUAAUUUUAUAGAAAAUUAGUAUUGUAAAAGAAUUUUGAAAAAUAAUUAAAGUAAAUUUAAUAAAAAGUAAAUUUAAUUUAUUGUAUCUUGGGUAUCAGAGUUUAUUAAAAAUAAAUUAUAUUAAUAAUAAUCUCGAAUUUAAAAGAGUUAAUUGAUUAUUUAAAUUAGUGUUUUAAAAUUAUUUAAAAUAAUUAAUUAGAAAUGAAAUGUUAAUCGUUUUUAAAUAUAUCUAGUUUUUUUAGAAAAAAAUUUAAUUUUAAAUAUUAUUAAUUUUAAUUUUUAUUAAUAAAAAUUAAAAAAAAGUAAAUAUUUUAUAUUUUAAGGGAUAAGCUUUAAAUUAAAUUUUUAUAAUUGGAUUUAUUUUUAAAAAUAAAAUUUUUAAGAUUUAUAUUUUUUAUAAAUUAUAAUUUUUUAUAAAUAAUUUUAUUAAAAUUAAAAUUUAAAAUUUAUAUUUAAAUAUUUAUAAAAAAAUAAUUUUUAAUAAAAAAAAAUUAGGUAUAAUGAUAAAAUUAGUACAAAAUUUUAUAAAUGAGAAAAUAAAAAUUUAUAAAAUUUAAAUAAAGGAAUUCGGCAAAAAA